UACGUAGGGCGCAAGCGUUGUCCGGAAUUAUUGGGCGUAAAGAGCUCGUAGGUGGUUUGUCGCGUCUGCCGUGAAAACCCGGGGCUCAACCCCGGGCGUGCAUUCGAUACUGCGCGGCUCGAGACAGGUAGGGGAGAUCGGAAUUCCUGGUGUAGCGGUGAAAUGCGCAGAUAUCAGGAGGAACACCGGUGGCGAAGGCGGAUCUCUGGGCCUGUUCUGACGCUGAGGCGCGAAAGCUAGGGGAGCGAACAGG
rnacentral:rRNA from 1 species